GUGCUCAAUUUGGCAGCACAUAUAAUAAAAUUGGAACAAUACAGAGAGAUUAGCAUGCUCCCUACGCAAGGAUGACACACAAGUUCAUGAAGUGUUCCAUAUUAAA